CUAGCUCCUUGAGGGGUCGACUUUUCUUCGGAAGAAAAAAGUCGAUCUCCUGAAAUGUCGAUCCCUUGCUGGCUGAUUUCCUCGCAAAACUUCCUAGCUGGCGACUUGGAAAAAAGUCGAUCCCUUUUUUCGAAAAAGUCGAGGAGCUUUUGUCGUGAGUAUCUUUGAAUCACAGACGGCGCCAACUGAUGGGGGUGAAACCCGACCAGUACUCCAAGACGCACAAGCAAGCGCCAAGCGGGGAACUCCGCGGGAAACCGGAC
rnacentral:lncRNA from 1 species